rnacentral:misc_RNA from 1 species
GUGAAUCAUCAAAUUUUUGAACGCAAAUUGCACUCUCUUCGGAGAGUAUGCCUGUUUGAGGGUCAGCCUAAAAAAAAAUCGACAUAGUUGCUGUUUGGCGGUGACACUCGUCGGGAAUUGGGUCAUCUUAAACCUUUUUGGUUUAAAGGGGUUAAAAUUUUCUUUACUAUUCCUCGAACGUUUCUAAGUGUUACUUACAAGUUAAAGGUAUCGAUCUUUAUUAGAAAUUGCCUGUGCAUCGGAUCCCGGCCAUAAAG